rnacentral:rRNA from 1 species
UGGGGAAUAUUGGGCAAUGGAGGCAACUCUGACCCAGCAACGCCGCGUGAAUGAAGAAGGUCUUCGGAUUGUAAAGUUCUGUGAUGGGGGACGAAGAAAGUGACGGUACCCCAAUAGCAAGCUACGGCUAACUACGUGCCAGCAGCCGCGGUAAUACGUAGGUAGCAAGCGUUGUCCGGAAUGACUGGGCGUAAAGGGUGCGUAGGUGGUUUAACAAGUUGGUAGUGAAAUUCCGAAGCUUAACUUCGGCGCUACUACCAAGACUGUUGAACUUGAGUACAGGAGAGGUAAGUGGAAUUCCUAGUGUAGCGGUGGAAUGCGUAGAUAUUAGGAGGAACACCAGUGGCGAAGGCGACUUACUGGCCUGCAACUGACACUGAGGCACGAAAGCGUGGGGAGCAAACAGG